rnacentral:rRNA from 1 species
UACGUAGGGUGCGAGCGUUAAUCGGAAUUACUGGGCGUAAAGCGUGCGCAGGCGGUUUUGUAAGCCAGAUGUGAAAAUCCCCGGGCUUAACCUGGGAAUGGCAUUUGGGACUGCAAGGCUGGAGUGCGGCAGAGGAGACUGGAAUUCCUGGUGUAGCAGUGAAAUGCGUAGAUAUCAGGAGGAAUACCGAUGGCGAAGGCAGGUCUCUGGGCUGACACUGACGCUCAUGCACGAAAGCGUGGGGAGCAAACAGG